AUUGAACGCUGGCGGCAGGCUUAACACAUGCAAGUCGAGCGGAGAGAGGUAGCUUGCUACUGAUCUUAGCGGCGGACGGGUGAGUAAUGCUUAGGAAUCUGCCUAUUAGUGGGGGACAACAUUUCGAAAGGAAUGCUAAUACCGCAUACGUCCUACGGGAGAAAGCAGGGGAUCUUCGGACCUUGCGCUAAUAGCUGAGCCUAAGUCGGAUUAGCUAGUUGGUGGGGUAAAGGCCUACCAAGGCGACGAUCUGUAGCGGGUCUGAGAGGAUGAUCCGCCACACUGGGACUGAGACACGGCCCAGACUCCUACGGGAGGCAGCAGUGGGGAAUAUUGGACAAUGGGAGCAAGCCUGAUCCAGCCAUGCCGCGUGUGUGAAGAAGGCCUUAUGGUUGUAAAGCACUUUAAGCGAGGAGGAGGCUACUUUAGUUAAUACCUAGAGAUAGUGGACGUUACUCGCAGAAUAAGCACCGGCUAACUCUGUGCCAGCCGCCGCCGUAAUAC
rnacentral:rRNA from 1 species